GGGUUGCUGAAUUAGAGAUCGGCGCCUGUCUUAAUUUAUCUAUAUAUUUAUAUUUGGAGUUGUAUCAUGUCUCUAAGUGUUGAAGCGAAAGCUAAAAUCGUUGCUGACUUCGGUCGCGGUG
rnacentral:ncRNA from 1 species